UACGUAGGGACCAAGCGUUGUUCGGAUUUACUGGGCGUAAAGGGCGCGUAGGCGGCGCGGUAAGUCACUUGUGAAAUCUCUGAGCUUAACUCAGAACGGCCAAGUGAUACUGCAGUGCUAGAGUGCAGAAAGGGCAAUCGGAAUUCUUGGUGUAGCGGCGAAAUGCGUAGAUAUCAAGAGGAACACCGGUGGCGAAGGCGGCCUGCUGGGCGGUAGCUGACGCUGAGGCGCGACAGCGUGGGGAGCAAACAGG
rnacentral:rRNA from 1 species